rnacentral:lncRNA from 1 species
CGGAGGCUUCUAAAAAUGCAUUAGUUUCCAGCUUCCCAGGUGAGAGCCGAGGUCUCCAAAGAGCAAAGUGGAUUCUGGCUGAAGCUGAGUCAGUAAUCAGCUUUGUUGGCCUUUGACUCUACCCAAUUUGCUUGCUCUGAGGAGGUGUGUAGAGUGAAUGUACACACAGAAAAUGUGUCAUGGUUCCUGUAUUCCAGGAAGAAAGAUGCCCCACAGGCUCACUCCUCCAGCCUUCUUUUCCAGCAGGGGACCCAGAAGGACAGCUGGGAAAGCAGCAAGAUGACCAUCUACGUGUUGUCCUUUGGGAAUGACUUUCAAGUUCAUGGCUGCGGUGGCUGCUACCCAAAGUCAACAGCACGGAAACCUUCCUGUUAUAUCAGAACCUCUAUCUAAAAAUGGAUUGACUCAAUAGGAAAGCAACAGCAAAAGGGACAUUGAUGUGAAAGGAAGGUCAAUGAAAACCACCUUGCUUUCAGUCUG